rnacentral:rRNA from 1 species
AGAGUUUGAUCCUGGCUCAGGACGAACGCUGGCGGCAGGCUUAACACAUGCAAGUCGAACGAGAAUCUAGAGCUUGCUCUAGAGGACAGUGGCGCACGGGUGAGUAACGCGUAGGCAACCUACCCCUAGAAUUGGAAUAACUCCGGGAAACCGAAGCUAAUACCGAAUAACAUCUUAAGAUCGCAUGGUCUAUAGAUCAAAACUCCGGUGUCUAGGGAUGGGCCUGCGUAAGAUUAGGUAGUUGGUGGGGCAAUGGCCCACCAAGCCGACGAUCUUUAGCUGGUCUGAGAGGAUGAUCAGCCACACUGGCACUGAGACACGGGCCAGACUCCUACGGGAGGCAGCAGUGAGGAAUAUUGCGCAAUGGGGGAAACCCUGACGCAGCCAUGCCGCGUGGUGGAUGACACCCCUAUGGGGCGUAAACACCUUUUAUAAGAGAAGAAGG